ensembl:lncRNA
CAUUCUCCUGCCUCAGCGUCCCAAGUAGCUGGGACUACAGGCGCCCGCCACCUCGCCGGGCUAGUUUUUUGUAUUUUUUAGUAGAGACGGGGUUUCACUGUGUUAGCCAGGAUGGUCUCGAUUUCCUGAUCUCCUGAUCCGCCCGUCUUGGCCUCCCAAAGUGCUGGGAUUACAGGCUUGAGCCACCGCACCCGGCCUUUUUUUUGUUUGUUUUUUUUUUUUUGAGACAGUCUUUCUAUGGACCUUUUAAAGAGUGAUAGUUACUGAAAAUUCACGUGCUAUCUUUAUGUUUCCUGCAAUUCAGAGAUGAUAAUUUUAACAGAGAGCACUAUUGAGAAAUUAGUCAGUACCUUGGCUUUUUGUUCCUAUAGAUUCAAUCAAUACGAAGAAUAAUAAAGUAAUAUUCCCCUUCAUGGUUAGCAGGGUCUGGAAUCCCUUGUCCUAGAAUUAACAGCUUUUUCUGAUUCACGUCCAGAGGAAGCGAGUUAAGUUGGCUCAUCUGAAGAGUGGCAGGAGAUAGUGAGUUUUGUGUUUGGAAGGUGGAGAUAAAUGAAGCUGAUGAAAGUCCAGCAGAGAAAUCCAUAUUGUUCCUACCACAUGCCAGGAAGUGUCAGGAACAUUAAUAUGGCAGCUUAUGAAGCCAGGAGGAGAAUUUCUCCCAAAUCCAAGUGUGUGAUUGAAAUUGGACAUUCUACUUUUCUUGUAUUGAAGUGUCAUACAUCCAUUCACAUCCAUUUCAUGAGAAUAAACAAAGGUCUGGUUUGCAAGAUAUCUGACUCUUAAAAAGCCUUUCCACUUAUUCUAUGAAUGCCUAGACAGAUUAUUUUCCAUAUUUCAGUCUUAUAAAAAGCGAGAAUAUUUCCUCAUUUGGUCAAUAUCUUCUGAGCCCAAUCUUUAUGCCAGACUCUGCAUUAGGCACUAGGAGCACAAAAGGAAAUUGGACACCCUUUUUUGUUCCUGGUAGGUCCCAACUGAGUGGAGGAUACUGGCAUGUAAAGGACUCAUUAGGCCGAAACUUCACUCUGUGGGAGACCAAAGGAGAGCAACAAACUCUCCCUCAGGAAGUCAGGAAAGGCUCAUAUAGUGAAUGCUGCCACCACCCUCUACCCUCCCUAGGAGGACUGAAGCACUCCUCCUCCAGCUGCCUCAUCAAGUAAGAAGAUGGCUGCAGGCAGAAGAAACAUAAGGUUCAAAGCACCAAAGUACAAAAGGAUCUGAUAUUGUCACAGACUGAGAGAUUUGAUGUGGAGAGUAUGGAGCUCUGGUGGCGGCCAGAGUGCAAGGCUGGAGUAGUAAGUUAGAACAGGCUGAAGGGCCUUGCAUUCAACCCCUAAUGUGGUCAUGUUCCUGAGGACCUUGGUGCAGUCCCUUCUUGAAGAUAAAGAGUCUUGGCCACCAUCCAGGCAAAAAUAAUUCCUGCAGUGAAGAAAAAGACAGACUUUAAAAGUGAUCACCAAGAGAACAUGGUCCCCUAAGAUAGAGAACUUCAACUGACAAAUCCCUAAAAUUUUAGAAUUUUAGAAAAAUAGGUAUCCACUUGUACAUUUUUCAGUUGAUGUUUAAGAUUUAUCU